rnacentral:misc_RNA from 1 species
GUUUUUUUCAUAUAGAGGGCUUACAUCAUCACCUACACCCCCCUUUUCAGGUACACCUUGCCUUUACCCUUAUCCUCACCUCCACUGAGAUUUUUAACCCAGGAGAGGUCAUCCUUCGGAUGUUGCUUUUGCAGCUCAACCACAAUGUUGUUCUGGGCCUUAACAUAAAUCUCAGCCAUUUGGUUGUCAGAAGAGGUGAGUUCAGCCUCCAACUCCUCCACCUUCUUCUUCAAUUUAGCUUGCUUGGCCGAAUGUUUCUCCUUGGCAUCCAUAAGCUCGCCCUCAAGGGAGGAAGACCUCUUCUUUAGCAAUAGAAGCUUAGUCUCCAAAUCGCUAAUAUUUUUCUUAGAGGUGAAAUAGUCUCGAUCAGCAGGGUGAUCUCCAUCUCUUAGGUGCCGAUGAGUCCCUGCAAGGACCUCACCUUCUCCUUUAGGAGCUGAGUGUUGGUGAUCUACUCCAUUUGAAGGCUUAUUGCCUGGAGUGCCAAAUCUUUAUCAUGCUCACCCUCCAAUCGAGCUUAAUCCAAGGGGAGGGUGUUUCUCUUACCAAGCUAGUUGGUAAGCUUGUAAUUGUAUAUGACAGAAUGACCAUCCAGCAGUUGCUUGACUGUCUGAGGUGGCUAUUGGGAAGGAGUGGUUGUUUGUGUGUGUCUCUCUCUCUCUUUUUCUCUUAACCCCAAGGUAGCCAUAAAAGUCACCACUUAUCUCUCGCCAAAGAUUAGCAAGGUCAAAGGGGUAGAAAUCCUAGCCCUCUUCGGUGUCGGAGUAUCAAUGUCUUCAAUUGCUAGAGUUUGCUCAUCCUUCUUAUUCUUCUU